GUAACGAGCCGCAACCCUUGUCCUUAGUUACCAGCACGUUAGUGGUGGGCACUCUAAGGAGACUGCCGGUGACAAACCGGAGGAAGGUGGGAUGACGUCAAGUCAUCAUGGCCCUUACGGCCUGGGCUACACACGUGCUACAAUGGUACGGUACAAAGGGUUGCCAAGCCGCGAGGUGGAGCUAACUACCCAUAAAACCGAUCGUAGUCCGGAUCGCAGUCUGCAACUCGACUGCGUGAAGUCGGAAUCGCUAGUAAUCGUGAAUCAGAAUGUCACGGUGAAUACGUUCCCGGGCCUU
rnacentral:rRNA from 1 species